rnacentral:rRNA from 1 species
UACGUAGGGUGCGAGCGUUACUCAGAAUUACUGGGCGUAAAGCGUGCGUAGGCGGUUCGCCAAGUCCGGGGUGAAAUCCCCGGGCUUAACCUGGGAAUCGCGCUUGAAACUGGCGGGCUUGAGUGUGGCAGAGGGGAGUGGAAUUCCACGUGUAGCAGUGAAAUGCGUAGAGAUGUGGAGGAACACCGAUGGCGAAGGCAGCGCCCUGGGUCACCACUGACGCUCAUGCACGAAAGCGUGGGGAGCAAACAGG